AGUUGGGGCCUGGUCAACAGGGGUCCAGGAGCUGAGGCCUGGUUGGUGGGCCGUCUAGCAGUUGAGGCCUGGUCAUCUGGGCCCGGCAUUUGGGGCCUGAUCGGCGGGGAUCAGAGCAGUGAGGCCUAGUCAGUGAGGUGUGGAUGUGGGGGCCUGGAUGGACGUGGAGGAAGACGUGGCUACCCUACUUGCACAGGAGCAGGGGGCAUCAUUGCCCAGUGUGAGCAGUGAGACGUAGCUGCCACCCAUCAGUGCCCUGGAAGUGAAGAGAAGACAUCAGGAGAUGAGGGACACAGAAAAAUGGCUCCAGGUGCUUCUCGACUGCCAGCGACAUAGGAGCGGCAAGGAGAGCAAGUAAUGACGCCCUCCUCCCAGACUUGCCCCAAAGCCCCCCAGAGCUUGGUGGUGUCCCAGGACGGUCCUCCCAGGAAACAUUUUGAAUAAGUUGCUGAAGUGCCUGAUGGACGUGGCUCUCGUCACGAAAUGAGUUUGGAUCCGAGAAGCCCUCUUCUUCAUCGGAAAACAGUGCCUCAUCAAUGAAGUAAGCAGGCAGCUACGUUCUGGAUGGCUAGCAUGUACCGAAGGCACAAAACCUCCAGAGUUGGCAGAGUUAAGUCCUGGCGUGCCCGAGGCUAUCCAGGGGAACACGCGGGACAGACAGCACCCUCAGCCUGUCCCCAUGACCCUCUGCUCCAGUCUGAGGGGCAGGACACCAUGAGACCUCUCAGACACAGAGUCCACCCUCGACAUGACCCGGAUGAAAGGCAGGAGUGUGCUCGCUGAAGGGGACCCAUCUCUGCAAGCCCACAGCCCUACCUGCAGCAUCCACAGCCUCAGAGAGCAGCGGGGCCCCUUACCCCUGAACCCCCUCCAAGAGCAUCAGGACAACAAGCCUUGAGCUGUGGAGACAAGAGAAUCAGUAUCCCUGGCCCAGGGAGGAUUCCAGGAGAGGACACGGGCAGGAGCCCUGGCCCAGAGCCAGAACCAAGAGUCCAGCCAGCGAAACUGGAACUAGGGUCCCCGGCACCCAGGACUCUGCGAGCAUCCCCCAACAGCAAGCCCUUCUGCAAGGGAGACGGGUUGGCCCACCCCAGGCUGUCCAGCUCCAGCAGCCUUGCAGGCAGCCUCUCCAGAAAAAGAGCCUGGUCCUCCCCACCCUGCUCCCCACAGGCUGUCCCUGACCCUGAGGCCCAGAGGCACAAGAGGACUUCUGUAGAGCCCAGGGGAGCAGGCUGUUCUCUUGGGGCCCCAGCGGGCUCAAGGUGUGGCCAGGCUGUCCCCAACUCAGGAUAGAUCAUAGGCUGUCCUGCGUACCUCCUCUGGAACUCCCUGCCCAAGCUCUGCCAUGGACCUGGACGUCAGGGGCCUGUGGUUUAACUUUGAAUAGGGAUUCUGGACCUUACACGUGUGCCCUGGACAGCCCCAGAACCAUGGGGUGGGGACCGACCCAGCAAGCCCACCGGGGCCCUGAAACCCGGCCCUGCCGGACACUGUGAUAAUAACCAAGAGGCAAGUCCAGAGACAUCCACUUUGCCCAAUGGCACCUGCAUCCAACUUCUCAGCAGGCAGUGACUGGCAUGGUGUGGGGGCAGCCGGGGCAGCACCUGGCCAGCACCUGGCCAGCUGCCCUGUAGCCCCCGAUGGCUCCAGUGCCUCUGGACCUCAUUUUCUACUUUCUACGGGGAAACCUACUCCCUCAGAGGCCACCAGAGGGAAGAGUGAGCAAGGCGUUCCUGCAGUCCCGACCAGCCAGCGGCAUGUCCUGUGGCCUCUGACUCAACCUAUGAGACAGAGCUCUGAUCCCAGGGCACACUUCCCAGGACACGGGGCCCAGCCUCAACCAGAGCCCUGUGAAGGGAGGGGCACCAGGAUGACCACAUGGGGGACCAUGGCGCUGCACACCUGGGCACUGUACUUCUCAUUGGAGAAUCCAGGCAAGAUCUUGAAGCAGGUGCAUGAGGUCCUGAGCCUGUGCAGCAAACAGCACUCAUCUGGGGUUGGCACGAAGGGGUCUACAGAGCCACGGCCACCGCAGCCUCUUCCCGGCCCCAUCUGUGCAGUGCAAGUGAUCCACGCCUGCUCCUAAACCCAGCCCAGCAAGCAGCAGCAGCCCGGGCCCCCAAGCCCGCCAGGCCAAUGUGCUGCCCAGAGGCUUCGAGGCCCUGCCCGCUGUACCUCCCACCACCUGGAAGCUGCCUCCUGACGCCUUCCAGCCACUGCUGCAGCCGCAACAGGUGUCGCGGCCAGUGCAGGCUUUCCAGACGGUGGCAGCGCCCAGCAGCCGUUGCCUCAGCUCUUUGGUGGCAGCCAGGCCAACAAGGGCAGCAACGAUGACUAGGAUGAUGAGUGAGCAAACAGCUCCACACUGGUGGACAGGCUGGGUGCGCACCCGGUGGUCCUCAAAGGCUCGCUGGGCCUGUACCACCGUUAUAAAUUUGAGAUCAUGAGAUUAUACCGUUUGCCUUCUUGCUUUUUGAAGUACGAGUAUUUUUAUGCACACUUUGUAGACUUCAAAAUCCAUGAAGAGUCUCAAAGAAGCCGGAUGGAUGGAGCCUGCUGCGGAUGCCUUUUACUCUCGUAGAUCAGGGUGAUUUACAUUCCACCUGUAGUCUGCUUGCAAACACACAGAGCAGCCUUGCAGCUUUGUGCCUUUAGACUCUUGGUUUUGCAUUUCUCCCUGCUCCCUUCUUCCUUCCAGUAAGCUGCAACUUUUCUGAUUGAAAGGGUGCAAGGCUAACACACGGAAUGACUAACUCAGGAUCACAUACUGGCAGUGGGAGAGGCAGGAGGAGCAGCUGCCAUCAAUUGCCAGGGCCAAGUGGAUGAUAGGAUGGAUGCUGGUGCAUGCGGAGGAGGCAGACGCAACGCUCAUCUCUAAUAAUGAUGUCUGUUCCCUCAGAGGCGGCUAGAGCAUCACCUCUUCACGCAAGUGUCUUGAAACUCAGCUUGAAGAUUUCAGCAAAUGUGUCUUACAGAGAAGAGAAGAGGGAGUCAGCCCAUCGGGAUUAAAAAUAUAGAGGCAGUGACAACACACACUCGGCUUCAGUUCUUAGGAGAGUUUUGGUUUUGAUUUUUUUUUUUUUUUUGGAGAAGAUUUUUUUUUUAAUGGAUCUACACUGUUAACUGAGACUCUGUUGAGAUUCACUGGUUUACUUAAAAACUUCUCAGGGAUGUCUGUAAAUUUCAGUGUUAUAUGUCAUGAAAACUGGUGUGGGCAGAUCUGUUGGUUGAAAUAAUUUCUACUGUUUCAAAUACUGAAGGCAGGAAUAAUUGGUUUAUACUGUGUUUUAAAUAGAAGUAUUACUGGUAAGUCCCCCAGGACAUUAAACCUUAAAAAUCAGU
rnacentral:lncRNA from 10 species